rnacentral:rRNA from 1 species
GACAGAGGUGCCAAGCGUUAGGCGGAAUCACUGGGCUUAAAGCGUGUGUAGGCGGAUCGUUAAGUACCUUGUGAAAUCCCACGGCUCAACCGUGGAACUGCUGGGUAUACUGGCGAUCUUGAGCCACCUAGGGGCGAGCGGAACAAGCGGUGGAGCGGUGAAAUGCGUAGAUAUCGCUUGGAACGCCAAUGGUGAAAACAGCUCGCUGGGGGUGUGCUGACGCUGAGGAGCGAAAGCGUGGGGAGCGAACAGG